rnacentral:rRNA from 1 species
GAGAGGGUGAUCGGCCACACUGGAACUGAGACACGGUCCAGACUCCUACGGGAGGCAGCAGUAGGGAAUCUUCCGCAAUGGGCGAAAGCCUGACGGAGCAACGCCGCGUGAGUGAUGAAGGUCUUCGGAUCGUAAAACUCUGUUAUUAGGGAAGAACAUAUGUGUAAGUAACUGUGCACAUCUUGACGGUACCUAAUCAGAAAGCCACGGCUAACUACGUGCCAGCAGCCGCGGUAAUACGUAGGUGGCAAGCGUUAUCCGGAAUUAUUGGGCGUAAAGCGCGCGUAGGCGGUUUUUAAGUCUGAUGUGAAAGCCCACGGCUCAACCGUGGAGGGUCAUUGGAAACUGGAAAACUUGAGUGCAGAAGAGGAAAGUGGAAUUCCAUGUGUAGCGGUGAAAUGCGCAGAGAUAUGGAGGAACACCAGUGGCGAAGGCGACUUUCUGGUCUGUAACUGACGCUGAUGUGCGAAAGCGUGGGGAUCAAACAGGAUUAGAUACCCUGGUAGUCCACGCCGUAAACGAUGAGUGCUAAGUGUUAGGGGUUCCGCCCUUAGUGCUGCAGCUAACGCAUUAAGCACUCCGCCUGGG